rnacentral:rRNA from 1 species
GAGUUUGAUCGUGGCUCAGGAUGAACGCUGGCGGCGUGCUUAACACAUGCAAGUCGAACGAAGCGCCUUAUUUGAUUUUCUUCGGAACUGAAGAUUUGGUGACUGAGUGGCGGACGGGUGAGUAACGCGUGGGUAACCUGCCCUGUACAGGGGGAUAACAAUCAGAAAUGACUGCUAAUACCGCAUAAGACCACAGCACCGCAUGGUGCAGGGGUAAAAACUCCGGUGGUACAGGAUGGACCCGCGUCUGAUUAGCUGGUUGGUGAGGUAACGGCUCACCAAGGCGACGAUCAGUAGCCGGCUUGAGAGAGUGAACGGCCACAUUGGGACUGAGACACGGCCCAAACUCCUACGGGAGGCAGCAGUGGGGAAGUAUUGCACAAUGGGGGAAACCCUGAUGCAGCAACGCCGCGUGAGUGAAGAAGUAUUUCGGUAUGUAAAGCUCUAUCAGCAGGGAAGAAAGUGACGGUACCUGACUAAGAAGCCCCGGCUAACUACGUGCCA